rnacentral:rRNA from 1 species
CCCAGAAACCCUAUGGGCAAUUGAUUUAGCCGCCGCGAAUCGCCCUUAGAGUUUGAUCCUGGCUCAGGAUGAACGCUAGCUACAGGCCUAACACAUGCAAGUCGAGGGGCAGCGGGAAUUAAGCUUGCUUAGUUUGCCGGCGACCGGCGCACGGGUGCGUAACGCGUAUCGAACCUGCCUCAUACUGGGGGAUAGCCUUGCGAAAGCAAGAUUAAUACCCCAUGGUUCCGGUCCUUCGCAUGGAGGUCCGUAUAAAGAUUUAUCGGUAUGAGAUGGCGAUGCGUCCCAUUAGCUAGUUGGCGGGGUAACGGCCCACCAAGGCGACGAUGGGUAGGGGUUCUGAGAGGAAGGUCCCCCACAUUGGAACUGAGACACGGUCCAAACUCCUACGGGAGGCAGCAGUGAGGAAUAUUGGUCAAUGGACGUAAGUCUGAACCAGCCAAGUAGCGUGCAGGAUGAAGGCCCUCUGGGUCGUAAACUGCUUUUGGGUGAGGGUAAAAGGCGGGACGUGUCCUGCGUAUUGCAAGUAUCACCCGAAUAAGGACCGGCUAAUUCCGUGCCAGCAGCCGCGGUAAUACGGAAGGUCCGGGCGUUAUCCGGAUUUAUUGGGUUUAAAGGGAGCGCAGGCGGUUCUUCAAGUCAGUUGUGAAAACGCGGGGCUUAACCUCGCGCCUGCAGUUGAUACUGUUGAACUUGAGUGCACACAGGGAUGUUGGAAUUCAUGGUGUAGCGGUGAAAUGCUUAGAUAUCAUGAAGAACUCCGAUCGCGAAGGCAUAUGUCCGGUGUGUUACUGACGCUGAGGCUCGAAAGCGCGGGUAUCGAACAGGAUUAGAUACCCUGGUAGUCCGCGCCGUAAACGAUGAAUACUCGCAGUUCGGCCGUAUGGUUGAGUUGCCAAGCGAAAGCGUUAAGUAUUCCACCUGGGGAGUACGCCGGCAACGGUGAAACUCAAAGGAAUUGACGGGGGCCCGCACAAGCGGAGGAAUAUGUGGUUUAAUUCGAUGAUACGCGAGGAACCUUACCCGGGCUUGAACUCGGCAGGAAGUGAUUAGAGAUAGUCAUGUUCUUCGGACCUGCCGGGAGGUGCUGCAUGGUUGUCGUCAGCUCGUGCCGUGAGGUGUCGGCUUAAGUGCCAUAACGAGCGCAACCCCUUUCCCUGUUUGCCAUCGGGUGAUGCCGGGCACUCCAGGGACACUGCCACCGCAAGGUGUGAGGAAGGCGGGGAUGACGUCAAAUCAGCACGGCCCUUACGUCCGGGGCUACACACGUGUUACAAUGGGCGCUACAGAGGGAAGCCACCACGCGAGUGGGCGCAGAUCCCGAAAGGCGUCCCCAGUUCGGACUGGAGUCUGCAACCCGACUCCACGAAGCCGGAUUCGCUAGUAAUCGCGCAUCAGCCAUGGCGCGGUGAAUACGUUCNCCGGGCCAUGUACACACGGCCCGUC